rnacentral:snRNA from 1 species
GAAUGUGAGGGCAAUGUGGCUGCCACAUCUGUCACUCCAUUGAUCGCCAAGGUCGAUUUGGCUAAUCCAGCUGGCUAGGCGGGUUUCCCCUUCCUCUCUCACAAAGCUGUGCGCUCUGUUGAAGAGGACGACCUUUUCCUAUAGAGGCCUACCAUUCUUCCAUAAGAGGUAUAUGAGUAGCUGUGCUCCCUUGCUAGAACAAAUCCCCAUCGUCCAUUUGUAGGAGAAUGUAAGUAGUCAAACUUCCAAGACUCCAUACACGUCCAAAUGAGGUGCUGCAUGUGGCAGUUGGCCUUCUUUU